AUGCUCCUACGGGGGGCAGCAGUGAGGAAUAUUGGUCAAUGGGCGGAAGCCUGAACCAGCCAAGUCGCGUGAGGGAAUAAGGCCCUACGGGCCGUAAACCUCUUUUGCCGGGGAGCAAGGGCCGGGACGAGUCCCGGUCCGGAGAGUACCCGGAGAAAAAGCAUCGGCUAACUCCGUGCCAGCAGCCGCGGUAAUACGGAGGAUGCGAGCGUUAUCCGGACUUAUUGGGUUUAAAGGGUGCGUAGGCGGGCUUUUAAGUCAGCGGUAAAAAUUCGGGGCUCAACCCCGUCCGGCCGUUGAAACUG
rnacentral:rRNA from 1 species